AGAACGAACGCUGGCGGCAGGCUUAACACAUGCAAGUCGAACGCGUGUAGCAAUGCACGAGUGGCGCACGGGUGAGUAACGCGUGGAUAUCUGCCUUUUGGUUCGGAAUAACCCCGGGAAACUGGGGCUAAUACCGGAUGGUUCCUACGGGAUAAAGAUUUAUCGCCAAAAGAUGAGUCCGCGUACGAUUAGCUAGUUGGUGAGGUAAUGGCUCACCAAGGCGACGAUCGUUAGCUGGUCUGAGAGGACGAUCAGCCACACUGGGACUGAGACACGGCCCAGACUCCUACGGGAGGCAGCAGUGGGGAAUAUUGGACAAUGGGGGCAACCCUGAUCCAGCCAUGCCGCGUGAGUGAUGAAGGCCUUCGGGUUGUAAAGCUCUUUUGGCGGGGACGAUGAUGACGGUACCCGCAGAAUAACGCCCCGGCUAACUUCGCGCCAGCAGCCGC
rnacentral:rRNA from 1 species